rnacentral:lncRNA from 1 species
AACUCCGCAAACUUUGUCUCGUAUUGCGAUACGGUCAUAUUAUUUUGUUCCAGCUUGAUGAAUUCUACCUCCUUCAUGUGACAAAUACUUUCUGGAAAGUACUUGUCGUUGAAUAAUUCUUGGAACUUCUCCCAAUACAUCUUUAGUGCGUAAAGAUGAGUACGUUUUACAGAUUCUCACCAGUAAUCUGCCUCUCCUAGCAACAUAAAGGUGGCAAAGGGAACUUUUUGCUCCUCUGAGCAUCCCAAGACAUCAAAUAUCUUGGUGAUCUGCUUAAUCCACGUCUCUGUCUUAAAUGGCUCUAGAUUUCCCAAAAACUCUGGUGGUCCCAGCUCCUUGAAUUGCUUAGCAGUGACCAGCCGUGAGUUACCAUUGUUUCCACCUGCAUUUUGAACAGGAAUCUCUCUCGUUUGGUGUUGCAUGAAUUACAGAAAGCUCCUAAACAUUCCAUCGUUCAUCAUUUGGUCGGUGUUGUUAUUUAUAUGAGGAUUAUUUCCUUCCCGAUGCACAUUAUCCUUGUUAUUGAUUGGCGGUGUCUCAACGGUCUCAUGUGCUCCAUUGCUUAUCUCAAAGUUUUCAUAUGCCAUUCUCAAACACUGCCAUAAAACAAGGGUUAAUUGACAUGCAACAUAUUAUCCCUAUAUUUUGAUCAACCAAUUAAAUAAAAAAUAAGCUUAGGUAGGACACACUAGCGAAGAAUUUACUCGUCUCUCCCAUCCUAGUUCUAGCCUUAGAUAUUCGCCAGGGAUCAUAUCCCUAAGCUUUGAUACCAACUGUGACGCCCCCAAAAAAGGUCUACACAACCCAUUCUGAAUCGCCAAAUGUAAGACCCCAACUUAUAAAUAAACUUGAAUUUCUCUAUUUAUUAUCUUGAAAUAAUAAGGUGAUAAUUGGAUAUAAUACAUUAGUUAUGGGUGAAAUGUGCAAAUUUUGCAAAAUAAGCAAGUUGUUAUAAAAUAUUCAUUUUUUCGGAGAAUAUUCUUUUGGUCGUGGAAUAUUCUUGUUGUCGGGGAAUAUUCGUAUGACGGCGUACCCAUUUGUGGGCCCCAUAACAGAAUAAUGGUCGGAUAAAGAAAAUGACAAGUUUGAGUUUUUAUAAAUAACAGCGUAGUUGUUACCGU